GGACAAGCCAGGCCAAGACUCCGGUUCUUUCUGCCUGCAAGGAGGUCUAGGAGGCAUGGUCCAGUGGCAGGUCAAAAGUCAAGGUGACUGGCAAUGGCCUGAGAUACAGCGGAUGACCUUCAAUGUCUGACCAAGCUCUAAGUGCUCCACAGUUUUUCCUGCCUCCACCAUCCCGGACAGCAUCGCAGAGUAGCAGAGUUGAAAGAAACUGAGGAGAAUUUGCUGGUCCAACCCACCUCUCUCAUUUUGCCAAUGAGAAAGCUGAGCCUUGCUUUUUAUCUGUCAGAUGGGGUUAACAAAACUCGGCCGCACUUUGUAAACCAUA